AUGAAGGUGCUUGCCCAAGGACACCCAGCUUGUCAGCAGCAGAGAUGGUGUUUGAAUUCAGACAGUUCGGCAAAGGAGGGUAACUUCUAUCAGCUCAUGAAACUCAUUUCCCACUGGACCGACUGUAAAUUCAAAAUUCCAAGAGUGCUUCAAAUGGAGAAAAUGAAAGAAAGAUCCAGGGGAUUAAACUACUUCGGCAAAGACGACAAGGGUUGCUCACUCAAUUCUGGACAGACGACCUUUCAUGCAUGAGUCCAACUCCACUAAUCUCAGGGAGAAAACUUCCCUCCGAAGCAUGCAGCCUCUUGCUCCGGGUAGGGAGGGACAGUGCUGGUGGUAGGAAGGACAUGAGUGGGGAAGGAAAGUAAAAGCA